CAGGGACAGAAAAGAUACAAUCAUCCUAUGAGAAGGGAGCUAAUGAAGAAAGCCUCCUCACGUGACUUUUAUGCUAUUGUUAAGCCACACCCUCUGUCUACUUUUUAUUCAUGCAAAUGAGGCACAAAUCAAAUGAAAGCAAACUGUCAACAGUUGGAUUCCUCAUCAAAGUGCCCAAAAUGAUGCUUUGAGAGCAGAUGAAGAAGGCAUAGGGUGCUGUUCUGGGAACCACGCUCCAGGAUCGGCUCCUGUCAGCCAGCUCCUCCAUGGCAACCACAGGGGAGUCUGCCUCACCUCCCUGUGCAACCUGCAGGUGUGUCCCCCGGACCUGGCAUGACACUUGACUAUUCCUAGUACUGGUUCAUUUGAUGCUUACAUCUGGAGAUAUCAUAAUUUCCACUUUCAGGCCACAAUGAGACAAGCGCUCAGGAAAGCUUGGUGGUAAUCCAGAAACAAGAAUGAAGAUACAUUUUCCUCUUUGGCCCAAUGGUGGUGUUGGAGAUCAUUGAUGAAGCCAGGUGCUACAUUUGCAGGGAAGAUGCAUGGGUUCACCCCAGAGGAUCAAGACACCGCAGACAACCCAAGGACAGCUGUCCACGAAAAGCACAUUUCAGGCCAACUGGGAAGACAAUGUCCAGUGUGUGAGCCCAGAAUUUUGCAGAAUCACUUCUUCUAAGCACAGGAGAAGUCCAACUAGGGAGGGGCAGCUCACUGUGGAGGAGAAAAGAACCCCUGCUUCUUACAGACAGUUGCUACCCCAGAAGGAGAAGGAAGGGGUGAGUCAAAUGUGUCCAGUUUACUUCCCUAACUGUGUCAAUCACACCACUACAGCCUGUGAGUAAGGAGCUGCAGCAGACCCAGAACUCCCUCCUUGGACCUGGGAGGAGCAUCAGGAGACCAAGGUCCUGGGUACUAAUGCUGAGGUGAACAGACUGGCACACACAAAGGAUUUCUUUCCUGAGAGCCAAUUCAGGAGAGGGGCUUCCAAGUGUCUGGAUGGCCAGGGCCAGGGGUACCAUGCAGCCAUGCACGCUGACCCUCCGUGGCAGCUGGGUUUGGCAUCCUUGUGGUCAUGAACCACUGCCCCCAGCCUCACUGCUACAACUUCAACUGGUCUGGCUUCUCGUUUUUAUCUCCUCUGCUGAUACUCUCCUUCUUCAAGCUGAAGUUUACAGCUCCAUCAGAAUCCCUCUCUGCUGUGAAGAUGACCCCACAUUCCUUAUGCUCAUUGCAUAGGAAACACCAUCCCUUCUUCAGCUAGGUGGCCAGGUCUUUUCUUGAGUAAAAUCACCCAGGAGCAGUGUAUUUGGGCUCUUUUGUCUUGGUUUUCUCACAUGGCGUAUGCACUGGAGAAGAAAUUUCAGAAUAAAAUCCUCUAUUGCAGUUCCUAAGGGGAUAUUGUUGAGAACUUCCCACUGUCAUUCAGUCUUUCAAAAGCUACACAAAUGUUGACUUCACACACAUGUAUAGCACACAUGUAUUAGCUCUAAGAAUUCUGUUUUUCCAGUUAGGAUGCCCUUUGUUCAAUGUUAAUUUAGUGAUUGUGAAUUUUGUUAUAAAUCAUAUCAAUGAAUUCUGUUUCCCUUUUCACUUGAUGACAAAAACACUCAAAACAAAAUGUAUAGCUUAGUGUCAGUUGGACAGUACAGGACACUAAGCUUACGAAUCUGAAAUUUCUCCCUCUUUUACAGUUCUCUUUUACCACAUCCCCUCCUGUAACACAUAGUCCUUGCCUUUGCCAUUUUUAUUCUGACAUUUGUUUUCUAGUAGACUAUGUAUUCCUGCAAAAUAUCAUACAUUCCAUGGAAAGACAAGGAGAUAAAUAAAAUACACCCACUAUUUUCUUCAUUAACCCUUC